rnacentral:rRNA from 1 species
AGAAUCAACGCUGGCGGCGUGCCUAACACAUGCAAGUCGAACGAGAAAGUGGAGCAAUCCAUGAGUAAAGUGGCGACCGGGUGAGUAACACGUGACUAACCUACCUUCGAGUGGGGGAUAACCUCGGGAAACCGGGCUAAUGCCGCAUAACAUCUUUGAAGUGGAAACUUCGGAGAUCAAAGGAGCAAUUCGCUUAAGGAGGGGGUCGCGGCAGAUUAGUUAGUUGGCGGGGUAAUGGCCCACCAAGACGGUGAUCUGUA